UCUCCCCAUGUGUUCCUGGCCUGCUUCUCCCUCUCCUCUCCCCACCUCCCGCCUUUCUCUGCCUCCCACCUUCCCCAUGCCCUAAAUAAACUCCAUACCAUGCCUCAGGGGGAGGGGAUGCCUCAGCGGGGGCCUGUGGAGGCAGCCCUUCCACCUCACCCACCAUACAGCGCCUCUACCAACACGGGUGCUGUGCCUGGGAUUUAGAAACUCACAGGUUGCAUGAGCUCAUAUUUCCGUGCUGCCACAUGGACUUUGCAGCCAUGGGAUGGAUCUCUUGCUAGACCUCUCCACCCAAGCACUGGAGAAUUGGUAAAGCUCCCUACUCUCACUGGUCAGCAUAAACGCCCUCUGGUCCCAAGGGAGGGCUGUUGAGCUUGCAGCCACCCCGUGGUGUCCUGGUCUUCUUACUGAUGCUUCGUUCUCGGACCUCUACCCCUGGGUCUCCGAAGAAGAUAUGGGCACAGUGACAAGAUUCUACCUGGACUGUGGUAUGAUAACCACUGAGAAACACUGCUCCAUUGCCUUGCCCACUGUCAAAGCUUGGCCUACACUGUGGAUAAAUAGAGGCUACCCAAAGAAUUUAAUGUCUCAUAUUGGAUCAUUUUUCAUUUCACAUGUACCAUACCCGUACUUCCUCCACAGGAAAAGCUUCUUGUCUUCUGCGAAUGAGGCCAGAUUGACUUUGCCCGAGGGACCACAGGGACCUGGGAACUGUUUAGGUGGCUCCACAGACCCUGGACAGCAAGGAAACAGCAACUCUCCUACAUGUGGACCAACAUCCCCAUGCCCAUUUUCUUAGGUUUCCCAGAGACACAGCGCUCCAAAGUCAGCAGGAAACAACUAAAGAUCACUAUGCCCCUAAUCCUGCUUCACCAUCAUCUCUAGUUUUUCCUUUUUUUUUUUUAAUGAAACCAAAAUGGAAGAAUGUUAGCAUUCUGUCUAGGCUCCUCCCAGCAGUUACCUGGCAACAGCCAUGUAUGCCUGAUUCACUAUAAACGGAGCUGCUUGCCCCCUCCUCACUCUCUUAUCCUCUUACUCUCUGCCCCUUCUCCCUCUCUCCCCCUCCCCUUCCCCCUCUCCCUCUCUGCCUUUCUCUCUCUCUACCCCCUCAGCUCCCCUCCCCAUGCCCUAAAUAAACUCUAUACAAUACUAUACCCGUUGUAUAGCUGGUACUUCAGGCAGAGGGACUCCUCAGCGUGGGCCUGGGGAGGCACCCCUUCCACCUCACCAUACAGCGUUUCUACCAAAACACAUACGGGCUCUUUCUUUCCUUCUCUCUUAUAAAGCACAACAGCCACCGCCCUCCAGCAGCCCUUCUCUGGCUCAUGGCUUCCGUCCGCAGCAUGAGUUUGUUUGUUUUUCUGUGUGUUGUUCUUUGAGAUUGUUCUUUAUGAUUUUAUUUUUUAAAUUGUAUAUGUGUGGUCUGUCUAUAGUGUAUGUACGUGUAAAUGCAGAUGCCUUUGGAGGUCAGACAUGGCAGCUUCCCCC
rnacentral:lncRNA from 1 species